rnacentral:lncRNA from 1 species
UGGGUUUGUUAUUGUUGUUCUUGUUGUUGUCUUCUCGAACAACAGAUUUUACUGAGCUGAAUCUCUACUUCUGUCCCCAGACCUGUAGCACUGAGACCUAAACCGGAGUUCGUAUCUCGUUACAGUUCCAGCUAGCUAAGGACAGAGAGGAUCUGUGAAUCCUUCCUUCCUGCAUAUCUGGUUUCAAUUUCAGCUAGUUAAGGACAGAGCAGAAAUUUGGGAUCAUUGCGACAGCAAGUUAAGUAUCAGCAUUGGACUGUCAAACACUACUGUACUAAUUAAGCACUUUAUUAACUUUAAUUGUUACAUUUGCUGGUAUAAUUCCUUCACCAUCUUGAAGCUAACUUAUGGCUCAAGAAUAGCUGCAAAAUACAGCAGGGAGAUAUGUGCAAGCCCAGUAGCUGGACAUGGCUUCUCAUUCCUGCUAGUUUGAAGAAGGAGAAGGCAAUUCCUUAGGUCAAGCAAAGAAAACAUUGAGCAGUGUAGAGGGGAAAAAGAAAAGAAAAAAGAAGUAGCAAAACAAUUACCGCAAAUAUAGAAAGGAUUAAGUUGCAGAAGUGGGGCAGAAAACAAUAGAAAAAGGGGAGAAGGAAAAGCACCAGUGGAAAUACCAUUCAGUUUUCAUAGAAACCCACCUUUCACAAUGGAUCAGGACAACACAAUCAAGCAAAACAUAGUGUCAUUCAUAAUUUGCUCAAGAGGCUGGAUACAGUGUAAGACUUCCAAGUAGUACGACACAGUUGAAUGAUCACCUGAAGGCCAAUGAUAAUAAGCUGGAAAUAAUUACUCACUUGGCAAAAUGACUGAGUGACUCAUUGAAAUUUA